rnacentral:rRNA from 1 species
GAUGAACGCUGGCGGCGUGCCUAAUACAUGCAAGUCGAGCGAACAGACGAGGAGCUUGCUCCUCUGACGUUAGCGGCGGACGGGUGAGUAACACGUGGAUAACCUACCUAUAAGACUGGGAUAACUUCGGGAAACCGGAGCUAAUACCGGAUAAUAUAUUGAACCGCAUGGUUCAAUAGUGAAAGACGGUUUUGCUGUCACUUAUAGAUGGAUCCGCGCCGCAUUAGCUAGUUGGUAAGGUAACGGCUUACCAAGGCAACGAUGCGUAGCCGACCUGAGAGGGUGAUCGGCCACACUGGAACUGAGACACGGUCCAGACUCCUACGGGAGGCAGCAGUAGGGAAUCUUCCGCAAUGGGCGAAAGCCUGACGGAGCAACGCCGCGUGAGUGAUGAAGGUCUUCGGAUCGUAAAACUCUGUUAUUAGGGAAGAUCAAAUGUGUAAGUAACUAUGCACGUCUUGACGGUACCUAAUCAGAAAGCCACGGCUAACUACGUG